GCCUCGGUAGCUCAGCCUGGUCAGAGCGAGUGCCUUGUAAGCACUAGGUCGCGGGUUCAAAUCCCGCCCGAGGCU
rnacentral:tRNA from 1 species